rnacentral:tRNA from 1 species
GGGUGGAUAGCUCAGUGGUAGAGCGCAUGCUUAGCACGCACAAAGUCCUGGGUUUAAUCCCCAGUACCUCCA